UCUGGAUCAGUGGCUGUUACCUCUGCAGAAGAGUUAAGGUUACCCAACUAUUUGAUAUCAAAAACAACCCGAAGUGCCCCAGAAUUAGGGAAUAGGAAAAUGUAUGAAUUACCUUGUGACAAAUAUAAAUUCAUGGACACUCGCAGCCCUUCGGGUUAUAGGAGCUCCAAUUGGUUUAAAGCUUUCGGCGAGAAGACCGAAGAGAGCCCUAGGACCCCAAUUCAAUUACACACAGAACAUCGUCGUCUGAAAGGAAGUGUGAAUGUAAAUGAAAUUUUGAGCAUGGUGAAAGAUGUGAGUCUAAACAUGGAAAAGGAGAAAAACAGGAUUCAAAGCAGCACAUCAUAUCAACAACCACAUGUACCCACACCUUCAGAAACCGUUUGUCGUCCUGGAACUGCUUUUUCUCCCCAGUUUUGUUCAGGU